CAGAGGAGAAGGCGAACAGCCUUUUAAUAGUUACUGGCGAGAGCGAUAGAAACCAAAAUCCACGUCGUGGUCUGUGCUCUAGUGACACUCAACUUGAGUUGGAAUGUAGAAGGACAAUGACCCAACACCUCCAGGCGGUGUAAGGGCUAUUAGACCAAGAAGGAGAGUGAUGGAGGGCUGCAUCAGAUGACCUGUUCUUCACAAUCACCCGACCUCAACCAAAUUGAGAUGGUUUGGGAUGAGUUGGACCGCAGAGUGAAGGAAAGGCAGCCAACAAGUGCUCCGCAGUUGUGGGAACUCCUUCAAGACUGUUGGAAAAGCAUUCCUGGUGAAGCUGGUUGAGAGAAUGCCAAGAGUGUGCAAAGCUGUCAAGGCCAGGACCUCUCUGUUACUUCCUCUUUCCCAUCAGACUCGCACUGACCCUGGGUAUGUCCUGGGCUGCUCAAAUACUUUUUAUGUGAAGGUGGUUGCUGUAUAUAACAACUAUUAUUUUUAUAUAUCAGUCUCUGUUUUAUGAAAUUUACCUGUACAAAGAUUUCGGAUUGAGAAGGCCUUUAUUUUUUUCUACACCUUUCUGGAGUUGGAGCUCACCGUGUCAGGAGCGUCUGUCUGCGCGCAAGGCCUGCUACGGGAGCGCUGGUGCGCACUGAAGGGCUAGGAGCGGGAAGUGGUUAUCGGAUUGGAAAACCUGAUGCACCGUGGGCGGUGGGAACAUCUACCGUGUUCUACACGACGUCUAUUGGUCGUUGCACACCUGUGCUGAAAUACCUCUAAACCGGCAAUGUGUAUAUGUUACUGUGUCUGAUCUUUACUCCAUGCCAUCCUGGAUUAAAUAGGCUGAAUUAAUUAUUUUCGCUUUAUGCCCUACAGUUUGCAAACACUCCGACGAGACCAUCAUGUCAAUACCAUCAGGAACUUGGUCUCUCUCUCUCAGCAAUUACAUGUGUACCAC
ensembl:lncRNA